rnacentral:rRNA from 1 species
AAGACCGUGCGAAGGUAGCGUAAUCACUUGUUCUUUAAAUAAGGACUAGUAUGAAUGGCAUCACGAAGGUUACACUGUCUCCUUUUUCUAAUCAGUGAAACUAAUCUCCCCGUGAAGAAGCGGGGAUAAGUAUAUAAGACGAGAAGACCCUAUGGAGCUUUAAACCAUGCGACACUUGCACAAUUUUCCACAAAUUUCAGAAAAAUCCAUGCUACUCAUGCAAGAUGAUCACCAGUUUUAGGUUGGGGUGACCGCGGAGCAAAAAACAGCCUCCACAUUGAAAGGAACUUACUCCUUAGCUAAGAGCCACACCUCCAUGCACCAAUACAAUGACAUUAAUUGACCCAAUAAUUUGAUCAACGAACCAAGUUACCCUAGGGAUAACAGCGCAAUCUACUUCAAGAGCUCCUAUCGACAAGUGGGUUUACGACCUCGAUGUUGGAUCAGG